UAUAAAAUCCCUUAUCUUCUUCCUCAUCAUCUAUUUAUUUCUGUGUUGUUAUUUUGUUGCUUUGUUAUCACUGUUCUUUUUUCUCGAGUCCUCUUGACUUUGCAUCGUUUCCUUUCUUCUUCGUUCAAGUUUAUUCUCAGGGACCACUCAUGGACAAUGAAGCAGUUCAGCGGAAGGUCGAUGUUGUGGAAGAAUAUGUUAAAAUGAGUAGUCACGUCUCUUCUUUUUAAGGAUCUUACUAUUAAGGCUGACCUUCAAAAUGAUAGUGAUAAUAACAACUUCAUUCAUUACCUCACAAUUACUGUGGGUUUGGCCAUCCUUCCGUUUACUACAGAUGCUUCACCUUCUUAGGCCACUGCUGCUACUGCUGAUAACCCCUUUAUUGUUGGGGGUUAUUCUUUUCCUCAUCUUCUUACCAUUGUGUUUCCAUUCACUAUCUCUAAUACUCUAGGGUCUAUAGAUCCGAUGGUGAUUUUGAAGUUGGCUCAUGAUCGUGUGGCUCAAGGGAAGUUAGCCCUUCAGACAGAUCAAAGUAAAGUGGAAGGUGCUACCAAAUAUUCAAAGGAGGAGAAGGGCAACCAAAUAUUCAAAGGAGGAAAAGAAAAAGGUUGUUGUUAAAGAUAAAAGACUGUCUCUGCCUUGAAUGGAAAACCAAAGGACCUGAUCGAUGAAGUGCAAGUUCUGAAAAAUCAACUAGAUGCGACGAAGAAGAUAGAAAUAAAAAGCUUUCGGUUAAGGGAAAGGGUCAGGAAAUUGGAGGAUAAACUAAGGAAAAUGAUUCUUGUGCCAUGGAUGAAGCUUUUUUAGCUUUAGCUUAGAAGGAGGUGUUAUAUUCCUUUUAGGACCAACUAAUACUGGCCCUUUAGGUUGUUUAUAGCCCAUUCAACUUCCGUCGUGUGAACAAAACACCUCUUUUAGAGGAGGACUUCGAAGCAAUGGAUUUUGACCUACACAAUCCAGAUCUUGAGGAUGAGAAUUAGCAAGAACUUCAAGAUAGGCUUCUAAAUCCUUUGACUACUCCUCCCAAUGAGACCUCUACUGCAACAAUAGUAGGUGGCACUUCUGCAGAAGGUGACCAACCUGAUAAUAAAGCAAAUUGUGGUGUCCUGGAAGGUGUUGAUCCUCCUACUUCUUCAAAAAAAUAUUGUUAACCCCUCUAGAGGGUAAUACUUGUAAUGUUGGGCCUGAUGCCUUUAUUAAUGUAAAUGAGUAAUUUUUGCAAUAAUUUUUUUUUAUUCCUUUA